GCCAGCAUGGCAUAGUGGUUUGGGCAUUGGAUUAUGAUUCUGGAGACCAGGGUUUGAUUCCCUCGGUCAUGAAA